CGGGGUGAGUAAUGUAUGGGGAUCUGCCUGAUGGCGGGGGAUAACUACUGGAAACGGUAGCUAAUACCGCAUAACGUCGCAAGACCAAAGAGGGGACCUUAGGGCCUCUUGCCAUCGGAUGUGCCCAGAUGGGAUUAGCUAGUAGGUGGGGUAAUGGCUCACCUAGGCGACGAUCCCUAGCUGGUCUGAGAGGAUGACCAGCCACACUGGAACUGAGACACGGUCCAG
rnacentral:rRNA from 1 species